CCCGCUGAAUUUAAGCAUAUAACUAAGCGGAGGAAAAGAAACUAACGAGGAUUCCUCUAGUAACGGCGAGUGAACGGGGA
rnacentral:ncRNA from 1 species